UAUUACUGGGUUGUUACUAUAAUUUUUAUUUGUUAUUUUACUAAAAUUAAUAUAUUUGGUUUUAUUAUUUUAUGAAAAAAUUUAUUUAGUUUAUUAUUACUGUGAAGGAAAAUUUAUUUAAUAUAGAUUAAGAAUAAUUAAUUAUUAGUACCUUGUGUAUCAGGGUUUAUUAAAUUAAUUUGGGAAUUCAUUAGUCCCGAAUCAAGAAGAGCUAAUUAUAUAUUUUGUUAAUGUUGCAUAAUUAUUAUAAAUUUAUAGUUAGAAGCGAAAUACUAUUCGUUUUUUGAUAUAUCUGGUUUUUGAAGAAAUAAAUUUAAUUUAUUUAAUUAUAAUUAUUUAUAUAUUUAUUAUAGAUUUAUUUUUAAUUAGAAAAUUUACUUUGGGAUAAGCUUAGGUAAAUAAUUCUAUUUUUAUAGAAAUAAGGGUUUUAAUUUGUAGAAUUAAAAAUUUUUAUUAUUUAUAAUUUUGUUGUAAUUUAUUAAAAUGUAAAUUUUAUUUUUAUUUUAAAUAGGUUUUUAUUUGGAUAUUAAUUUUAAUUUUAUAGAUUAAUUAAUUAUGAUAGAAUUAGUAUAUUUGUUUGUAUAUUUAUAUUAUUUGUUGAAGGUGGAGUAGAGGAAUUCGGCAAAUAUAUUUUUCACCUGUUUAUUAAAAACAUGGCCUAUUGUGUUAUGAUUUUAGGUCUAACCUGCCCAAUGAUUAUUAUUUAAUGGCCGCAGUAUUUUAACUGUGCUAAGGUAGCAUAAUCAUUAGUUUUUUAAUUGGAAUCUGGAAUGAAGGGUUAAAUGAAAAAAUUUCUGUCUUUACUUUAUUAUUAAAAUUUUAUUUUUAAGUUAAAAAGCUUAAAUUUUAUUUAAAGACGAUAAGACCCUAUAGAGUUUUAUAAACAUAUUUUAAAGUAAAAUUGGUUUAUUAUUUUUUUUAUUGUAUUUUUAUUUGAUUGGGGUGAUUUUAAAAUUUAGUUAACUUUUAAAAUUUUUAUUACAAAUAAUAUUUGGUUUAAAUUUGUUUGAUCCAAUAAUUUUGAUUAACAGAAAAAAUUACCUUAGGGAUAACAGCGUUAUCUUUUCUUAGAGCUCUAAUCGAUGAAGAGGAUUGCGACCUCGAUGUUGGAUUAAAUUUAUUUGUAAAUGCAGAAGUUACAUUAAUUAGGUCUGUUCGACCUUUAAAAAUUUACAUGAUCUGAGUUUAGACCGGCGUGAGCCAGGUCGGUUUCUAUCUUAAAUUUGCGGGAUGAUUUUAGUACGAAAGGACCAAAUCUUUAAUUU
rnacentral:rRNA from 1 species